ensembl:lncRNA
UCACAAAAUGCCGUCUUCAGGAGAAGACAUUGUACGCCCAACACAACCAUCUUCAUGACAUUCCAUGGCGAUUUGGCUUUAUGUGAUUCCACCCUGGCCUUCAACAUCAGUUGGUACCUCCGUUCCUCAAUCUGCACAAUGAAGUCUUUACUACCCAGUGAGUACAAUCCCUUCUUCUUCUCUCACAGGCCAGACUCGUCGUAAACCUGCACACGACCAACAAUAGCACACAGAGAAACAGACAUAUCCACUGUGCCAUCACAUUAAUGUUGUAAUGCGGAAGGAACCACAAAAAUAAUGUGUUGCCUGUAAUGUAUUAGACACCUUUUUCUAAAUUAGAAGAGAUAUCCUGUUUUGUCCUUUUCACUUUUUUAGUUGUUCUAUUUCUACUUCCUGUAGGACAACAAGGCACUGACUAUGUUGGUCUGGAUCACAUGUGAAGGAGGACUGGAGUGGCUUCUACAGCCAGGGAUACAUGUACUUCCCAAAUGCUCACUCUUUUACCAACCCAAGGUCGGCUCUUCUUUUGUUGUUUGUUGGUUGUUGUUGUUGUUGUUGUGUUGUUGUUUGUUUGGGGUUGUUGUUUGUUGUUGUUGUUGUUGGGGUUGUUUGUUGUUUGGUUGUUGUGGGGUGGUUGUUGUUGGGGUUGUUGGUUGUUGUUGGGGUUGUUGUUGUUGGUUGGUGUUGGGUUGUUGUUGGGGUUGGGUUGUUGUUGGGGUGUUGUUGGUUGUUGGUGUUUGGUUGUUUUGGUUGUUGUUGGGUUGUUUGUUGUUGGGUUGUUGUUGUUGUUGGGGUUGUUGUUGUUGUUGGUUGUUGUUGGGGUUGUUGUUGGUUGUUGUUGGGUUGUUGUUGGUUGUUGUUUGGGUUGUGUUUGUUGUUGUGGUGUUGUUGGUUGUGUGUUGGGGUUGUGGUGUGUUGGUUGUUGUUGGGUGUUGUUGUUGUUUGUUUGUUGUGGGGUGUUGUUGUUGUUGGGGUUGUUGGUGUUGGGGUUGUUUGGUUGGUUGUGUGGUGGGGGGGGGUGGGGUUGCCAUACACUGACUUGUAAUUCUUGGUUGAUGUAUUAUAUCUCUGUCCCCUCCCCCCUCCAUUCCUCCUUCCAGGUGUACUACACAGACUUCAGCCCCUAUCAACCCCUCAUCAGCCCACAGAGCGAGGAAGGCAGGCCUUCCAAUCAGAGUGCUCCACAGGGGUGGCUGGAAAAGCCGGUAAGCCAAUCAGAACUCUGUUUUAUAAGAUUUCUGUAAACAGGUUGUACAUAGUCAUGCCUUUUUCUAAAUGUGUUUUGCAUUGAAAGUGUGUUUCUGAAAUGGCAGCAUAUUAUGGACCCUGGUCAAAAGUAGUGGACUAAGUACACUGGUGUAAAGUAGUUAAGUAAAAAAUACUUAAAAGUACUACGUAAGUUGUUUUUUGAGGUAUUUGUACUUUAUCAUUUAUAUUUUUGACAACUUAUUUUUAUGUCACUACAUUCCUAAAGAAAAUAAUAAUGUACUUUUUACCCCAUACAUUUUCCCUGAAACCUUUAAAAGUACUCGUAACAUUUUGCAUGCUUAGUAGGACAGGAAAAUGGUCUAAUUCACACUCUUAUCAAGAGAACAUCUCUGGUCCUACUGCAUCUAAUCUGGUGGACUCACUAAACACACAUGUCUGAGUGUUGGCGCGUGCCCCUUCUUAUCCAUAUAUUAAACAAAAGAUCUCUGGUCCUACUGCAUCUAAUCUGGUGGACUCACUAAACACACCAGGGUCAGGUCUAGGGUCAGGUCUAGGGUCAGGUCUAGGGUCAGUGUCAGGUCUAGGGGUCAGUGUCAGGUCUAGGGUCAGUCUAGGGUCAGGUCUAGAGGUCCAGGUCUAGGGCCAGUGUCAGGUCUAGGGUCCACGUGUCAGGUCGAGGGUCAGUGUCAGGUCUAGAGGUCAGUUGUCAGGUCAGGGUCAGUGUCAAGU